rnacentral:rRNA from 1 species
UAGUUGGUAAGGUAACGGCUUACCAAGGCGACGAUCAGUAGCCGACCUGAGAGGGUGAUCGGCCACAUUGGAACUGAGACACGGUCCAAACUCCUACGGGAGGCAGCAGUGGGGAAUAUUGCACAAUGGGCGAAAGCCUGAUGCAGCAACGCCGCGUGAGUGAUGAAGGCCUUCGGGUCGUAAAACUCUGUCCUCAAGGAAGAUAAUGACGGUACUUGAGGAGGAAGCCCCGGCUAACUACGUGCCAGCAGCCGCGGUAAUACGUAGGGGGCUAGCGUUAUCCGGAUUUACUGGGCGUAAAGGGUGCGUAGGCGGUCUUUCAAGUCAGGAGUGAAAGGCUACGGCUCAACCGUAGUAAGCUCUUGAAACUGGGAGACUUGAGUGCAGGAGAGGAGAGUGGAAUUCCUAGUGUAGCGGUGAAAUGCGUAGAUAUUAGGAGGAACACCAGUUGCGAAGGCGGCUCUCUGGACUGUAACUGACGCUGAGGCACGAAAGCGUGGGGAGCAAACAGGAGUAGAUACCCUGGUAGUCCACGCUGUAAACGAUGAGUACUAGGUGUCGGGGGUUACCCCC